GACGAACGCUGGCGGCGUGCUUAACACAUGCAAGUCGAACGGAAAGGCCUUUUCGGCGGUACUCGAGUGGCGAGCGGGUGGGUAACACGUGGGUGAUGUGCCCUGCAUGCUGGGAUAAGCCUGGGAAACUGGGGAUAAUACCGGAAAGGAGGGCACUUCAGGGUGUGUGGUGGAAAGGUUUUUCGGUGUAGGAUGGGUCCGCGGCCUAUCAGCUUGCUGGUGGGGUGAUGGCCUACCAAGGCGGCGACGGGUAGGCGGACCGCGAGGUUGGUGUGCCACAGUGGGACCGAGAACCGGCCCAGACACCGACGGGAGGCAGCAGUGGGGAAUAUUGCUCAAGGGGCGCAGGCGUGUGGCAGCGACGCCCCGUGGGGGUUGACGCCUUUCGGGUUGUAAACGCAGUUCGCCAGGGACUAUGCGUUUUGUGACGGUACCUGGAGAAGAAGCACCGGCUAACUACGUG
rnacentral:rRNA from 1 species